rnacentral:rRNA from 1 species
UAUCCCGAGUGCCGUCCGCUGAGGGUGGCUUUUACCCAGUCUAGAAAGCUGGGAGAAUAAGGAGAGGGCAAGUCUGGUGUCAGCCGCCGCGGUAAUACCAGCUCUCCGAGUGGUGUGGAUGUUUAUUGGGCCUGAAGCAUCCGUAGCUGGCUGAUCAAGUCCCCUGUUAAACCCAACGAAUCAAUCGUUGGAUUGCGGGGGAUACUGCUCGGCUAGGGGACGAGAGAGGCCGACGGUAUUUUCGGGGUAGGGGUGAAAUCCUAUAAUCCCGGGAAGACCACCAGUGGCGAAGGCUGUCGGCUAGAACGCGCCCAACGGUGAGGGAUGAAAGCUGGGGGAGCGAACCGGAUUAGAUACCCGGGUAGUCCCAGCUGUAAACGAUGCAGGCUAGGUGUUUGGGCGGCCACGCGCCGCUCUAGUGCCGCAGGGAAGCUGUUAAGCCUGCCGCCUGGGGAGUACGGCCGCAAGGCUGAAACUUAAAGGAAGUUGGCGGGGGAGCACCACAAAGGGUGAAGCUUGCGGUUUAAUUGGAGUCAACGCCGGAAAUCUCACCGGGGGC